CCCUUAGACGUCCUGGGCCGCACGCGUGCUACACUGAUACGUACAACAAGGUAUAUGCAUUCAUGCAUCGAUGCUGCUCCGAAAUAGACACAGCUAAAUCUUCUAAAAUACGUAUCGUGCUGCGGAUAGAUCGUUGAAAUUAUGGAUCUUGAAGGUGGAAUUCCUAGUAAGCGCGGGUCAUCAACCCGCGUUGAUUACGUCCCUGCCCUUUGUACACACCGCCCGUCGCUCCUACCAAUUUCGAGUGGCUCGGUGAACCUCUUUGGACUGUCGAGCAAUCGCGAAAUUAGAGUGAACCUGGUCACUUAGAGGAAGGAGAAGUCGUAACA
rnacentral:rRNA from 1 species